rnacentral:rRNA from 1 species
AGUUCGGAUUGCAGGCUGCAACCCGCCUGUAUGAAGUUGGAAUCGCUAGUAAUCGCGGAUCAGCAUGCCGCGGUGAAUACGUUCCCGGGCCUUGUACACACCGCCCGUCACACCAUGAGAGUCGGGAACACCCGAAGUCCGUAGUCUAACCGCAAGGGGACGCGGCCGAAGGUGGGUUCGAUAAUUGGGGUGAAGUCGUAACAAGGUAAC